CGCGCAGGCGGUUAUACAAGCCUGGUGUGAAAGACCACAGCUCAACUGUGGGAACGCACUGGGAACUGUAUGACUAGAGUUCAAGAGGGGAAGCUGGAAUUCCUGGUGUAGGGGUGAAAUCUGUAGAUAUCAGGAAGAACAUCAGUGGCGAAGGCGAGCUUCUGGCUAUGAACUGACGCUGAGGCGCGAAAGCGUGGGGAGCGAACAGGAUUAGAUACCCUGGUAGUCC
rnacentral:rRNA from 1 species